UACGGGGGGAGCAAGCGUUGUUCGGAUUUACUGGGCGUAAAGGGCGCGUAGGCGGCCACCGCAAGUCGACUGUGAAAUCUCCGGGCUUAACCCGGAAAGGUCAGCCGAUACUGCGGGGCUAGAGUGCAGAAGGGGCAACUGGGAAUUCUCGGUGUAGCGGUGAAUGACGUAGAUAUCGAGAGGAACACCUGCGGCGAAGGCGGUUGCUGGCUGACACUGACGCUGAGGCGCGAAAGCUAGGGAGCGAACGGG
rnacentral:rRNA from 1 species